rnacentral:rRNA from 1 species
UCACUUAUAUGGAUACCCGUAGUAAUUCUAGAGCUAAUACAUGCUGCACUCCUAACUUUUUGGAAGGGAGGUAUUUAUUAGAUAAUAACCAAUAUUCCGUAGGUCUAUCGUGGUGAAUCAUAAUAACUGAUCGAAUCGCACAGCCUUUGGCUGCGAUAAGUCAUUCAAGUUUCUGCCCCAUCAGCUUUAGAUGGUAGUGUAUUGGACUACCAUGGCGUUCACGGGUAACGGAGGAUUAGGGUUCGAUUCCGGAGAGGGAGCCUGAGAAACGGCUACCACAUCCAAGGAAGGCAGCAGCCGCGUAAAUUACCCAAUCCUGACUCAGGGAGGUAGUGACAAGAAAUAACAAGCGGUGGCCUAGCCACCGAAUUGC